AGAGCCCGGAGGUGUGCGGCCCGGCGCUGUGCGCGUGCGCUCGCCUGCGCUGUGGUGGGAGCUGGAGCGGAGGUAGAAGCUGAGGCUCCAGGGGACCCGACGACACUUGCUGGCUGCGUGAGCCACCACGCCCGGCCAGGAAGUGGGGUCUAUAGGUGUUGGUGAUUGAGGACAGCAAAAGAGGCAUGCAGGAUGACACCAGGAUCCUGGCUUAGCUAGGUGGAUGAUAGCUGAGAUAGGAGCGCACAGGAAGACCAGCAAUUUAAGGGGGAAGAAGAUGAGUUUGUUUCUGGCUGUGCUGAAUUUGGGCCGAGGGGACAUAUCCAGGAAGCUGUUGGAUAUCCAUGUAUGGGACUCAAGGGCGUGUUUGGACUGAAGCUGUAGAUUGCCUUGGGAGUGGUUGUAUAAUCCAGAGUGAGUGCAGGGAGAUGAGAAGGUCUAAGCCUGGGACCUGGGAAACCCCAACAGUUAAGAGACACCAACAAAGGAUGUGAAGGAUGCACCUCGGAUGCUAGGAGCUGCUGACAGGAAAGCUGAAGAGACUCUGCAUGGGCUUGUGUUAUCUAUUGCUGCAUAAAAAAUUAUC
rnacentral:lncRNA from 1 species